GAUGAACGCUGGCGGCGUGCCUAAUACAUGCAAGUAGAACGCUGAAGGAAGGAGCUUGCUCUUUCCGGAUGAGUUGCGAACGGGUGAGUAACGCGUAGGUAACCUGCCUGGUAGCGGGGGAUAACUAUUGGAAACGAUAGCUAAUACCGCAUAACAGUAGAUGUUGCAUGAUAUCUACUUAAAAGGUGCAAUUGCACCACUACCAGAUGGACCUGCGUUGUAUUAGCUAGUUGGUGAGGUAACGGCUCACCAAGGCGACGAUACAUAGCCGACCUGAGAGGGUGAUCGGCCACACUGGGACUGAGACACGGCCCAGACUCCUACGGGAGGCAGCAGUAGGGAAGCUUCGGCAAUGGACGGAAGUCUGACCGAGCAACGCCGCGUGAGUGAAGAAGGUUUUCGGAUCGUAAAGCUCUGUUGUAAGAGAAGAACGAGUGUGAGAGUGGAAAGUUCACACUGUGACGGUAUCUUACCAGAAAGGGACGGCUAACUACGUG
rnacentral:rRNA from 1 species